AAAGUGGCAUAGGAAAAUGCCAAGAUCCCUCACCUUCCCUACAAUGAAUGAUGUCAUGAACAAUGGCAUACAGAGAAAAUUACUUUGCCUAUCUACCUUUCAUGUGGUCAAGCAGGUGUAGCUUAGAAUCUAGCUGUAUACCACAAUUAGUAUAGCAGUCCAUCUAUUCUACACACCUGCCAUUUUGUCAAGUCUCUUAUAUGUUGUCAAAGUACUAAAAGGAGCUCUUUGAGCACUUCAAAGCCGUAGUGAAGAGAAUGAAUCAUCGUGGAAGUGGGCAUUAUGAACAAUUAAAAUCACAGCUUGAAAAGCAAGAAGAAGAAAUAGCAAUAUAUAAGCUUCAAAUUAAGGAGCAACAAGCAGAUAAGGAGCAAUUACAAAAAAAUUAUGAUACUGACAUGAAGAGGCUUCUGGCAGUAACCAAGAAACAAGAUGAUAUUGAAUCUAAUUUAAGAAGAGAAUUGAAAGAGUUGCAACAUGCUAUUGAAACUCAAAAAAGAGUGGAACUAGAUCAACUAACCCAUCUAAACAAUAAA